GGGGAAAAGAAGAAUUCACGUGGAUGAGGAGGAUUUUUUGGAAGUGAAUCGAAAGGAAGUACAAUUAGUUGCUGGAACAAUUGGCAGAAAACUGAAAAUUUUGCAGGCUCACAGAUUUUGGGGAAAGAAAUUUCAGUGACCUAAUUUUUGGGGAAAACAAAAAUUCACGUGCGUGCGGAGGAAUUUGUGGGUUGCAAUAAAAGGAAGGACAAAGUUGUUGAAGGAAUUGGCUGAAAACUGAACAUUUUGCAGGCGCAUAUAGCUGGCUACUAAUCGGCGAAAAGGAAGAGGCUAUGCGACGCAAAGAAAAGGAAGGAAACUCUGCCUAAAUGAAAAAAAACUUCAGUGACUAAUAAGACCAUUUAUUUGACUUCGUUGGUUCCUGUCAAACCAAAGAAAGGG
rnacentral:lncRNA from 1 species